rnacentral:rRNA from 1 species
AUUGAACGCUGGCGGCAGGCCUAACACAUGCAAGUCGAACGGUAACAGGAAACAGCUUGCUGUUUCGCUGACGAGUGGCGGACGGGUGAGUAAUGUCUGGGAAACUGCCUGAUGGAGGGGGAUAACUACUGGAAACGGUAGCUAAUACCGCAUAACGUCGCAAGACCAAAGAGGGGACCUUCGGGCCUCUUGCCAUCGGAUGUGCCCAGAUGGGAUUAGCUAGUAGGUGGGGUAACGGCUCACCUAGGCGACGAUCCCUAGCUGGUCUGAGAGGAUGACCAGCCACACUGGAACUGAGACACGGUCCAGACUCCUACGGGAGGCAGCAGUGGGGAAUAUUGCACAAUGGGCGCAAGCCUGAUGCAGCCAUGCCGCGUGUAUGAAGAAGGCCUUCGGGUUGUAAAGUACUUUCAGCGGGGAUGAAGGGAGUAAAGUUAAUACCUUUGCUCAUUGACGUUACCCGCAGAAGAAGCACCGGCUAACUCCGUG